CUCUUAUCCAGAGAGGUGGAGGGACUGGCCCAAUGAAACCCGGCAACAGCCAAAGCUGUAAAAGCUUUGGAAAUGUGCCAAUUCCUGCAGGAUCAUUCCUGAGAGAUGAGAG
rnacentral:ncRNA from 2 species